UGAUCUUAGCUCAGGCAGAGCUGCCCACUGAGUUUCAGCAUAUCAAUAAGCGGAGG
rnacentral:rRNA from 1 species